rnacentral:rRNA from 1 species
CCUGAUGACCAUAGCAAGUUGGUCCCACUCCUUCCCAUCUCGAACAGGACAGUGAAACGACUUAGC